rnacentral:rRNA from 1 species
UUCUAAGGCCAUACCAUCCUGAACACACCAGAUCUCAUCUUGGAAGCUAAGCAGGAAAGGGCCUGGUCAGUAUUUGAAUGGGAAACCACCUGGAAUUACCAAGUGCUAUAGGCU